rnacentral:rRNA from 1 species
GCAGAGAAGGGGCCCAAGCAACUGUUUAGCAAAAACACAGGUCUAGGCAAAGCCGAAAGUUGAGAUAUAUGGNCUGACGCCUGCCCGGUGCUGGAAGNUUAAGGGGAGAGUUUAGCCGUAAGGCGAAGCUUUGAACUUAAGCCCCAGUAAACGGCGGCCGUAACUAUAACGGUCCUAAGGUAGCGAAAUUCCUUGUCGGGUAAGUUCCGACCCGCACGAAAGGCGUAAUGAUUUGGGCACUGUCUCAACAAUGCACCCGGUGAAAUUGAAAUACCAGUGAAGAUGCUGGUNACCUGCGCCAGGACGGAAAGACCCCAUGGAGCUUUACUCCAGCUUGAUACUGGGAUUCGAUAUUGCAUGUACAGGAUAGGUGGGAGACUUUGAACUCAUGACGCCAGUCGUGAGGGAGUCACUGUUGGGAUACCACCCUUGUAGUAUUGGAUUUCUAACCAGCAGCCGUGAUCCGGCUGGGGGACAAUGUCAGGUGGGGAGUUUGACUGGGGCGGUCGCCUCCGAAAGGGUAUCGGAGGCGCUCAAAGGUUCCCUCAGAAUGGUUGGAAACCAUUCGAAGAGUGCAAAGGCAGAAGGGAGCUUGACUGCGACACCGACGGGUGGAGCAGGUACGAAAGUAGGACUUAGUGAUCCGGUGGUAUAAAGUGGGAUUGCCAUCGCUCAACGGAUAAAAGCUACCCUGGGGAUAACAGGCUUAUCACUCCCAAGAGUUCACAUCGACGGAGUGGUUUGGCACCUCGAUGUCGGCUCAUCGCAUCCUGGGGCUGUAGCAGGUCCCAAGGGUUGGGCUGUUCGCCCAUUAAAGCGGUACGCGAGCUGGGUUCAGAACGUCGUGAGACAGUUCGGUCCCUAUCCGGCGCGGGCGGAGGAUAUUUGAGAGGAGCUGUCCUUAGUACGAGAGGACCGGGAUGGACGGACCACUGGUGUAUCUGUUGUCGACCAACGGCAUGGCAGAGUAGCCAAGUCUGGAAGGGAUAAACGCUGAAGGCAUCUAAGCGUGAAGCCCCCCUCAAGAUGAGAUAUCCCUCCUUCGGGAGUAAGACCCCUUGAAGACUACAAGGUAGAUAGGGCAGAGGUGGAAGCAUGGCAACAUGUGGAGCUGACUGUUACUAAUAGGUCGAGGGCUUAAUCUG